GCUUGCUUAGGCAGCUUCAGACUCAGUAUGACAACAGGAAGCCUAAAACUGAGCUCUUUUUUAAAAUGUAUUUAUUUUAACUGGAAUCCAAUGUGUUUAAACUAUUUUAAAGGUGGGAGGUGAAUAAGUCACGUAAGUGUAUUUUGGUGGGGGCGUGAUGUGAAAUUUUAUCAACAAAAAAGAUGUAAGGAAUUUCUCCCACAUUGCCAGGUCCCUACAAGGGAGCAGAGGUUUCAUCAUUUAAAGGCUCAGCUUUAGGUGUGAGGUGAUCAGCUUAUAAGAAGAGCAACACAAUCGAAAAUACUGAAGCAGGUGGAGUUGCACAGAAUGAGUAAGUGGUCAAGAGUCGAGUGCGGAGGAGGUCUGUCUAGAGGCUGAGCAUGAGCAGAAGAAAAAUGUCCAGCAGCAGCCCAGAUCAAAGAUUUUACCAAAUGGGCGCACACUUUUGAUGAACACAUCAGAGAGACAGGACCAACUCCAAAUCAAGAACUCAAAAAGACAGUUAUGCAUCUUCGAGGAUGUACUGCAAAGAGGAGAUUUCUAGGGAUUUGGAAGGAUUUCAAGAUUAUAACAUGAUUACAGCAGACAGCCACGGAUCAAACAUGUUGGAAAUUCUGAUGUAUAUCUAAUGUGCUCCCUGCUAGAAAAGCCUCUUAAUGCUGCAGUUUGAAAAGUAUGAACACAAAUUCACUCAUCACUCAUCUAUCAUUCAUAUUCAGUCUCAGUGUGUGACUACAUCUGUAUAUUUCGCAUGCUGUCACCAUGUCGGA